GGGUUGUGAGGUUAAGCGACUAAGCGUACACGGUGGAUGCCCUGGCAGUCAGAGGCGAUGAAGGACGUGCUAAUCUGCGAUAAGCGUCGGUAAGGUGAUAUGAACCGUUAUAACCGGCGAUUUCCGAAUGGGGAAACCCAGUGUGAUUCGUCACACUAUCGUUAACUGAAUACAUAGGUUAACGAAGCGAACCGGGGGAACUGAAACAUCUAAGUACCCCGAGGAAAAGAAAUCAACCGAGAUUCCCCCAGUAGCGGCGAGCGAACGGGGAGGAGCCCAGAGCCUGAAUCAGCAU
rnacentral:rRNA from 2 species